UUUUGGACAAUGGGCGAAAGCCUGAUCCAGCAAUGCCGCGUGCAGGAAGAAGGCCUUCGGGUUGUAAACUGCUUUUGUACGGAACGAAACGGUCUGCCCUAAUACGGCGGGCUAAUGACGGUACCGUAAGAAUAAGCACCGGCUAACUACGUGCCAGCAGCCGCGGUAAUACGUAGGGUGCGAGCGUUAAUCGGAAUUACUGGGCGUAAAGCGUGCGCAGGCGGUUAUGUAAGACAGUUGUGAAAUCCCCGGGCUCAACCUGGGAAUUGCAUCUGUGACUGCAUAGCUAGAGUACGGUAGAGGGGGAUGGAAUUCCGCGUGUAGCAGUGAAAUGCGUAGAUAUGCGGAGGAACACCGAUGGCGAAGGCAAUCCCCGGACCUGUACUGACGCUCAUGCACGAAA
rnacentral:rRNA from 1 species